rnacentral:rRNA from 1 species
UACGAAGGGGGCUAGCGUUGCUCGGAAUCACUGGGCGUAAAGGGUGCGUAGGCGGGUCUUUAAGUCAGGGGUGAAAUCCUGGAGCUCAACUCCAGAACUGCCUUUGAUACUGAAGAUCUUGAGUUCGGGAGAGGUGAGUGGAACUGCGAGUGUAGAGGUGAAAUUCGUAGAUAUCGCAAGAACACCAGUGGCGAAGGCGGCUCACUGGCCCGAUACUGACGCUGAG